rnacentral:rRNA from 1 species
CACUUGGAGGGCAAGUCUGGUGCCAGCAGCCGCGGUAAUUCCAGCUCCAAUAGCGUAUAUUAAAGUUGUUGCAGUUAAAAAGCUCGUAGUUGAAUUUCGGGGUUCUAUCGUUGGUCGGGCUAUUGUCUGUACUGGCGUGUAGAAUUUCUACCUUCUGGGAACUAUCAUGUUAUUAAUUUAGCGUGUAGGAAACCAGGACCUUUACCUUGAAAAAUUAGAGUGUUCAAAGCAGGCUUAUGUCUGAAUACAUUAGCAUGGAAUAAUAAAAUAGGACGGUGGUCCUGUUUUGUUGGGUUUCUGAAUCACCGUAAUGAUUAAUAGGGAUAGUUGGGGGCAUUAGUAUUCAAUUUGUCAGAGGUGAAAUUCUUGGAUUUAUUGAAGACUAACUACUGCGAAAGCAUUUGCCAAGGAUGUUUUCAUUAAUCAAGAACGAAAGUUAGGGGAUCGAAGACGAUCAGAUACCGUCGUAGUCUUAACCAUAAACUAUGCCGACUAGGGAUCGGACGAUGUUAACUUUUCUUGACUCGUUCGGCGCCUUACG